rnacentral:rRNA from 1 species
AAAGCUCAAAUUUGAAAUCUGGCGCCUCUGGUGUCCGAGUUGUACUUUGGAGAGGCAUCUUCUGGAGGGGCCCAGCCUAUGUGCCUUGGAACAGGACGUCAUAGAGGGUGAGAAUCCCGUCCUUGGCUGGAUAUUCCCUCCUGUAUGUAGUGUCUUCUACGAGUCGAGUUGUUUGGGAAUGCAGCUCAAAAUGGGUGGUAAAUUUCAUCUAAAGCUAAAUAUUGGCGAGAGACCGAUAGCGCACAAGUAGAGUGAUCGAAAGAUGAAAAGCACUUUGAAAAUAGAGUCAAACAGUACGUGAAAUUGUUGAAAGGGAAGCGCUUGAGACCAGAGUUAGCCUUUGGCAAACAACUAUCCUUCUGGAUGGUGCACUUGUCAUUGGUUGGGCCAGCAUCGGUUGGGACGGCAGGAUAAAGGCCCAGGGAAUGUGACUCCUUUAUGGAGUGUUAUAGCCCCAGGCGGCAUGCUGUCAGCCC